rnacentral:lncRNA from 1 species
CCACCCCCGCGCUCCUGAAUCUCGUGAUGCGAUGGCUACAGCCGCAGAUCCACAACUGCGUGCUUGGCUGGAAACGGUCAACCCAGUGCUACAACGGGCGACAGCUGUAGAUGCCAGCUCCGGCAGCGACCAUUUUUGUUGGUAAAGCUUCAACCUUCGGCUGGAUUUUUUGCUGGAACCACUGGUUGGGGAUGUUACAAGAAGGGGCAUUUUUGGCUGGAACCAUAUUUUUUUUUGCUGGAACCGAUCCAUGUUUUUGCUACCACCCACUCACCUCAAAUCUGCUACCAUGGUGAUUUUUUGCUGGAACCAGCGAACCACUUUGCUACAACCGUUUUGGUUUUUGUUACUAUUGUUUGUUUUGUGAUUUUUUGCUACAUCCAUCUUCAUGACAUAGCCUGUUUUUUCCAGUCAAUUUUGCUACAACCAUGCUUUGAUUUUGCUGGAAACGAAGACAAUUUUUGCUAAUAUCAUUUUUAAUUUUGUUGGAAUCGAAGAUAAUAUUUGUUACCAGGCGGCGAUGGCUUUCUUUUUGCUGCAACCGUCUCGGAUUUUUGCUACUACAGGAGUUGCCAUUUUGCUACUACCAGAGCCUUGCUCGAAGCAUCAGGAGUUUUUGCUACCACCCCCUUUUAUUUUUGUUUCGAUUUUUGCUGGAACCAGCCUAAAAAUUGCUCCAACCGUCGUUCAAUUUUGCUGGAACCGGCAUUUUUUGCUUCGCCGGUGGCGGUGAAGGCGGGUGGCAUUUUGCUUCGCCAGCGGCGGCUAGGCUGCGAGCACCGGCGGCGAGCAGAAGCAACGACGGUCCAAAGGAGGGCAGCGGGGGCUAGCGUGCGGGAUCCCGCGAGCGGCGGCGGCGCUCGCUUUUCCCCCGUUUUUUCCCUGUGCGGAGGAUGACGAAAGGGGAUGCGGGACAGAUCUGACGGUCCCGCGCGUCCAGAUCGAGCGGUUCGGGUUGGACCGGUCGAAACUUGCGCCGGUGCGCCGGCGCAGAGUACUGCACUAUGAGUAAUGUGUGAAAUUUUUAACAUGAGGAGGUGUUGGGAUGUAAUCCAAUCGGACCGGAUUUUGUCUCUACCCUAUUUUUUCUCGAGUUCGGGUCAGAUCGUAUAAUGAACAGUUUUGGAUUCAGCGGCGG